AACUCAAACUCCUCUCUCUGGGAAAACGCGGUGCUUGCUCCUCCUGGAGUGGCCCUGGCAGGGUGUUGGAGCCCUUGGUCUGCCCGGUCUGGUCUCUGGGGCCAAGGCUGGGUUUCCCUCAUGUAUGGCAAGAGCUCUACUCGUGCGGUGCUUCUUCUUGGCAUACAGCUCACAGCUAUUUGGCCUACAGCAGCUGUGGAAAUUUAUACCUCCCGGGUGCUGGAGGCUGUUAAUGGGACAGAUGCUCGGUUAAAAUGCACUUUCUCCAGCUUUGCCCCUGUGGGUGAUGCUCUAACAGUGACCUGGAAUUUUCGUCCUCUAGAUGGGGGACCUGAGCAGUUUGUAAGUAGAUUAUCGUCAUUUUCCAGGGUACUCUUGUUUAGGGAAAUAAUAAGCCAGUCCAUUUCUCCUUUCCCUUCCAGUAUUUUUCUUAGCAGCAAGCACAAGGUUAAGCUCGGAAACAAUUCUUGGGACAGAGACUGAGAGGCCAUUGAAGGGGAAAGCAAGUGACCGAGCCACAGACAGGACAGUUGGGUUUGCUGGCGUUUCACUU
rnacentral:sRNA from 1 species